rnacentral:rRNA from 1 species
CCUACGGGGGACAGCAGUGAGGAAUAUUGGUCAAUGGACGGAAGUCUGAACCAGCCAUGCCGCGUGCAGGAAGACGGCUCUCUGAGUUGUAAACUGCUUUUGUACAAGGGUAAACCUGAAUACGUGUAUUCAGCUGACAGUCCUGUACGGAUACGGAUCGGCUAACUCCGUGCCAGCAGCCGCGGUAAUACGGAGGGACCAAGCGUUAUCCGGAUUUAUUGGGUUGAAAGGGUGCGUAGGCGGAUUGGUAAGUUAGAGGUGAAAUGUCCGGGCUUAACUCGGGAACUGCCUCUGAUACUGUGGAUAUAGAGGGUAGAUGCGGUAGGCGGAAUGUAUGGUGUAGCGGUGAAAUGCGUAGAGAUCAGAAAGAACACC